UACGUAGGGAGCAAGCGUUAUUCGGAUUUACUGGGCGUAAAGGGCGCGUAGGCGGCGCGACAAGUCACUUGUGAAAUCUCCGGGCUUAACUCGGAACGGUCAAGUGAAACUGUCAUGCUAGAGUGCAGAAGGGGCAAUCGGAAUUCUUGGUGUAGCGGUGAAAUGCGUAGAUAUCAAGAGGAACACCUGAGGUGAAGACGGGUUGCUGGGCUGACACUGACGCUGAGGCGCGAAAGCCAGGGGAGCAAACGGG
rnacentral:rRNA from 1 species